UUAAACAAAUAGAAAAGAAAGAAAUAGUCUUGAGCAAACAAACUAAAUAUUUUGAAAAAGUCUUUGAAAAAAUGCUCAGUGAUAAAGGUGCAAAUAUACACACAGAUGUUUUCACUGUAAGGGUCUUAUCCAGCAUGACUUUUGCACUCAGACGAUCUCUCAUGGCAAAUCAAAUCAGUGAUCAGCUGGAAAACUGCUGCCUCAUGCAUAAGUAGAGGCCAGCCUCUGACCCUUGUGCACUCUACACACCUGAUCUUACACACACACACACACACACACACAUAUACACACACACUCACAAAACAUUAAAGCUCUUAUCUAACCAACUCAAAGUGUGUCCAUGUGUGGGAACAUGCAAGAAGCAGACCAUAAAUUGACAUAUGGAUUUUUUCCCCUGGAGAGAAGUGACAUGGCUGCACAGACGUGGCAGUCAAUGCCACUGAGCUCAUUGCCCCUUGUUGAUCUGAGAGAGGCCAAGGGCAAUAAGUGAUGAGUGUGUAUGUUUUCGAAGAAUCUUACUAUAAUACAGCAUCCAUACACUAUCAAGUAUUUUAUACCCCUUCCCCUUUCUCUCUGUCUGUAUCUGCAAUUCAAUACUACACAGUCUGACUCACCAGCUGCUCUCACAGAACAGAGCGCUUGUAUUCACACUGGCUAGAGAAGACAAUGCAGGUUUUGUUUUCUUUUUAUUUAGUCUGUUUGAUGUCAAAAGAGGCAUGAGGUGGCAGAUGCAAGUGGGUUUUUUUUCUUUUACCGGAGCCCUUUCUCAAACCUCUGUGAUUAAGUGAAUCACCUGACACAAAGCUAGUUCUAAAUUAGAGCUCCUUCUCUGCUGGUGAAUCUUGCCAGAAUUGUACGUCGAUGGAUGCUGCUCCUGCAAAGGGACCAUUAAUAGUGUGGUGAUCAUCAUCGAUUUCCCCCAGCAGAGACACUUCAGCCGGACUCACAUGGAGAGCUCAAGUCUCAUGCAGCUGUAUCUACAUGACAGUUUCCUGUUUGUCACGGUGACAUCAGAGAGCAGAUGUUCAGGCAACACAUCCCACAACAACAAUCUACCUGAGAGCUGCAGCGCGCACACAUUCACCCUCACACACAGACACACUCUUAUCUUUGCUGCUGCAUAAAUGCUUCCUCAUGUUCUUGUCCUCUUUCAUCUCAUUGUCUUUCUCUCCCCCUCCCCUCACUGAGAGCACAACACACAAAAUGGGAAAUAAAGUGCUGACUGUGAAAGGGAUGACGCAGUAAACAUAGCUGCUCUGAAUAUCUAAAUUAAAAUUGGCCUUGUGUAUCGUUUGAAUUAUUCAUAAUGGUAAACUGGAUUCAGCUGCUACUACAGGGCAAGAGAAAACCUGAGUUACAGUUAAAGUCGGGUAGAUUACUCCAUUUAACUUGCUAACGUGUUAGAUUAUAGUUAAUGAACUAUAG